rnacentral:rRNA from 1 species
GGCUCAGGACGAACGCUGGCGGUAUGCUUAACACAUGCAAGUCGAACGGACUCUUCGGAGUUAGUGGCGGACGGGUGAGUAACGCGUGAGAAUCUGGCUUCAGGUCGGGGAUAACUACUGGAAACGGUGGCUAAUACCGGAUGUGCCGAAAGGUAAAAGGCUUGCUGCCUGAAGAUGAGCUCGCGUCUGAUUAGCUAGUUGGUGUGGUAAGAGCGCACCAAGGCGACGAUCAGUAGCUGGUCUGAGAGGAUGAUCAGCCACACUGGGACUGAGACACGGCCCAGACUCCUACGGGAGGCAGCAGUGGGGAAUUUUCCGCAAUGGGCGAAAGCCUGACGGAGCAAUACCGCGUGAGGGAGGAAGGCUCUUGGGUUGUAAACCUCUUUUCUCAGGGAAGAAAAAAAUGACGGUACCUGAGGAAUCAGCAUCGGCUAACUCCGUGCCAGCAGCCGCGGUAAUACGGAGGAUGCAAGCGUUAUCCGGAAUGAUUGGGCGUAAAGCGUCCGCAGGUGGCUAUGUAAGUCUGCUGUUAAAGAGCAAAGCUUAACUUUGUAAAAGCAGUGGAAACUACAUAGCUAGAGUGCGUUCGGGGCAGAGGGAAUUCCUGGUGUAGCGGUGAAAUGCGUAGAGAUCAGGAAGAACACCGGUGGCGAAGGCGCUCUGCUAGGCCGCAACUGACACUGAGGGACGAAAGCUAGGGGAGCGAAUAGGAUUAGAUACCCCAGUAGUCCUAGCCGUAAACGAUGGAUACUAGGCGUUGCGAGUAUCGACCCUCGCAGUGCCGGAGCCAACGCGUUAAGUAUCCCGCCUGGGGAGUACGCACGCAAGUGUGAAACU